rnacentral:lncRNA from 1 species
UCCUUUGUACGUAUCUUUUUUAUGCAAUUACAUAGAAUCAUUGAUAACAAAAAAAUGGGUGCAGGAACUCUAUGCUCUAAUGUUAAUCAACAUGCCUACAACCAAAGGAGAGAGUAAAACCCAAAGUCAAGACAAGCAGCUUGAUGCUGAGGGAGAAGAUGGCAACGAGGAUGAAGACGACGAAGAAGAUGAUGAUGGAGAUGGUGCAUUUGGAGAAGGAGAAGAGGAAUUGUCAUCUGAAGAUGGAGGUGGAUAUGGCAACAAUUCCAACAAUAAGAGCAACUCAAAGAAGACUCCUGAAGGUGGUGCUGGUGGGGCAGAUGAAAAUGGAGAAGAGGAAGACGAUGAAGAUGGUGAAGGUGAUGACCAUGAUGAAGAUGACGAUGAGGACGAGGACGACGAAGAAGAGGAUGAGGUCGGAGAAGAGGACGAAGAAGAUGGUGUUGAAGAAGAGAAUGAAGAGGAAGAAGAAGACGAAGAUGAGGAAGCCUUGCAGCCACCAAAGAAAAGGAAGAAGUGAAUUUAGCUUAGUCAAGCCUCCUUUUGUAUUGUUGUGUACGAAUUUGGCUUCUAACUUCCCAUGAUGUUUUUUUUAAGUAUUAAACUUCUAUGUUCUUGUUUUCUUUAUAAGGAGGCCUAUGUAGGACAUGUUUUAAUUGAUAUCUGUGUUUACCAUUGCGUAAUUAGAAUUCUACAUUAUGUUGAGCAGUCAGUCUUAAAUUUACAAGACAGAAAAAAUAAUGAUCCUAGUUAAUUUUAACGUGACUUUUCUCACUUCACCAACUUCUGUAAUUUGUUUAUGUUCUACUACAGUUCC